rnacentral:rRNA from 1 species
GACGAACGCUGGCGGCGUGCUUAACACAUGCAAGUCGAACGGAAAGGCCCUGCUUUUGUGGGGUGCUCGAGUGGCGAACGGGUGAGUAACACGUGAGUAACCUGCCCUUGACUUUGGGAUAACUUCAGGGAACUGGGGCUAAUACCGGAUAGGAGCUCCUGCUGCAUGGUGGGGGUUGGAAAGUUUCGGCGGUUGGGGAUGGACUCGCGGCUUAUCAGCUUGUUGGUGGGGUAGUGGCUUACCAAGGCUUUGACGGGUAGCCGGCCUGAGAGGGUGACCGGCCACAUUGGGACUGGGAUACGGCCCAGACUCCUACGGGAGGCAGCAGUGGGGAAUAUUGCACAAUGGGCGGAAGCCUGAUGCAGCAACGCCGCGUGCGGGAUGACGGCCUUCGGGUUGUAAACCGCUUUCGCCUGUGACGAAGCGUGAGUGACGGUAAUGGGUAAAGAAGCACCGGCUAACUACGUG